rnacentral:rRNA from 1 species
UACGUAGGGGGCAAGCGUUGUCCGGAUUUAUUGGGCGUAAAGAGCUCGUAGGUGGUUCGGUAAGUCAGGUGUGAAACCUCCAGGCUCAACCUGGAGACGCCACUUGAUACUGCUGUGACUGGAGUCCGGUAGGGGAGCGUGGAAUUCCUGGUGUAGCGGUGAAAUGCGCAGAUAUCAGGAGGAACACCAGCGGCGAAGGCGGCGCUCUGGGCCGGUACUGACGCUGAGGCACGAAAGCGUGGGGAGCAAACAGG